AAGGAUCCUCAUUAUUCCCUCUUCGCUACCUCCUCUCUACAACCCCAUUCCAAAGGGACUGACCUUCAACAGAAUGUAUUUCUAUAGAGAUAAAAACAACGAAACUCCCAAGACGUCUAUAUUUGGAAUAUACAGGGAAAACUAGGAAUUUAAUAGCUGAGUUCACGUCCUGCCGACAAAACUUAGAAGGAAUCAACAAACUUCAAGUUCAGGCGCAUAUGUGGUACCCUGUGGCCUAGCGAGAAGAUCGCAGAUGACAUGGGAGGCCUUCAUCUUCUGCAUCUGUCCGACCUUUUCAGCUCCUCUUCUGGUCACUCUGUCAAGGGGGCCUGGAACUCCUGAGACGUGAAAGGACCAGCCCUAUCUCAGAUGGUGCGGGUUUCUUCAGCCUGACCUCUGCCAUAUUUGCUUGGAGCCCCAGAGCUCAUCCUUCAAGGCCUUUUUAAAAAUAGCACAGCCUCUGUCAAGCCUUCUUGAAAAAUUAAAUUUUUUAUCGUAAAAACUUUCAAACAUAUAAAGAAUGUGAAAGAAUAGGCAAUUAUCUGUAUACUCAUCACCCACAUUCAAUAAUUAACAUUUUGCCGUCUUAGCCUCAUCUACCUA